UAUAGCCCACAACUUUUCUUCAUUCCAUUCUCAUUCUAAGCUUUACAGACUCUUCUGUUUUCUGCUGUCCUUUUUUCUGUUAAGAGGAAAAAUGUCUUGCUGUGGUGGAAAGUGUGGGUGUGGAGAUAACUGUAGCUGUGGCGAUGGAUGUUCUGGGUGCAAGAUGUACCCAGAGAUAGUCGAGUCACAUAAGGAGACUAAGGCAACGACUUCUGAAAUGGGAAAAGUAGAGGAAGUAAGUGUUGCAGCUGAAGGGGGAGAUGCUCCAAGUGGGUGCAAGUGCAGCCCCUGCAACUGCGAUCCCUGCAACUGCUAAUCAUUAUAAGCAUACUAGUUAUUAUUAUUAUUAUUAUUAUUAUUAUUAAAUAUAGUAAUCCCUACUAAAGUUAUGUUAGAAUAAUGAGAUCCCUCUAAAUUAAGCAAUGGUGUGAGACUCUAAUUUAUGCACGUUGUUGCUCUUAAAACUUUAUACUCCACAUUUAUUUGUGUGUCGUCUUGUUAAAAACUAUUAUGAGCAACAUAUACUCAGUAAAUAUUUUCUCUAUUUUCUGCUUGCUGAGUAAUUUGGUUUUAAAUUUAAUAUUGGACAUAGUUUGUGUUCUUUAGAAGAUUGGAAUUUGAAGUAUUUAUAAUAUGGACUCUUAUCAUUAAAUUAAGUGUUCUUGGACAAUAUUUUUGUGAUUAUUUGAAAGGGGAUAAUAUUUUAUGAUAUUGAAAUGGACUUCAAUUUAUUUUUAUAAUCAUGGUAUCUUUCUUGUGUGGGGGGAAUGCAUGAAAGAUGGUGGUUGUUUCAUUAUAAAAAUGGGGGAAUGGAUGAAAGAUGGUGGUUAUUUCAGUAUGAAAAGGGAAAAAAUAAAAAGUAUAUGAACAAUGAUUAAUCAAUCUUUUUUUAAUUAUGGUCAUAAAAUUUGUCUACAUCAUAUUGUAUUUUUAUAAUGUUGAAAUGUUUUUUAUUAGGUAAAUUAAACAUAUAUUGUUUUCAAUAUUUUUGAAAUACUUUUUUAUUGGGAAAAGUGAUUGAUUUCAAAUGAAACAUAAGUUGCUACCCAUUGUAAAGUGUUUCCAAAAUUCUAUGUGAAUGAUAUGUUGCAAUUACCAAGUUUGAAGUAUACAUCAAUCAUAAGAUAAAAUGUGUGUUUUUGUCUAAUAUUAAGGUUAAAUAAUUAGGAAUAGGGAUGGAGCGAUAAAAGAUGGAUCUCUACAAUGUAGCAAAGAAAAUGUCAUAAGAUAGAGAAAAUGGUAAUUCCUCUUAGUAGCAAAUUAGGUGACUAUAUAUAUGGUGCAUUGCCUUAAUGAUGAAUGAGGUCAUAAUUUCUUAUUAAUGUAGUGUUGCAUUUCUUUUCUUUUUUCAAUCAAGUGUCAAUAUGUCAUAAAUUCAAAAAAGAUUCUUUUGUGGAAAUUUUGAAAUUACAAAUAUUUGAAAUCAAAUAAUAAAUACAUUUGUUGUCGGCUAUGGAGAUGUUUUCUUUGUUUUUGGUGCAUUGGUGUGUUCUUUUGAAGAUAACCUUAUGUGAUAUCAUAUUAUUUAUAAUUAUUGUUAUUAUAUUUUCAUUAUAAUAUUUUUAUUUAUUAUUAAUAUCAUUUUAUUAUUAUAUUAUCUUAUGCUAUUUUACUAUAAAAGGCAUGUAACAAACAUAAAAUCCAUGCAAUAGUCUCAUACAAUAUAUUGUAUCAACUUGAGAUAUAACAUACCCUUUUCCUUCCUUGAAGAUCAAAGUGCACAAAGAAGAAAGGGGAUUUCACCAUCUUUAAUUUUAAGACAAAAUAUUACUUCAAGGUGUGGAAUAUAAAGUGUAUUGGGCUAAUUGAAUAAGAUUUUAUGUUCCAUGGUCACUCUUGCUUCAGAUAGUAGUACAUAAGGAAGAGCUCCAUUUGGGGUUACUGAACAGAGUGAGGAUAAGGUAUUUGAAAAUAGAUACUUGAAUCCAUUCCUAGACCGUGAUCUAGAUGCUAAGGAUGAUGAAGACAAUAGCUAUGGGGGCUUCAUUGGCUAGGCAAUAUUAUAUCCCGUGCGUUCAUAUUGUGGGAUUUAAUAUCUCAAAAAUCCAAAGCUAUAUAUUGCAAAUAUAUUAAGGACGUAGGGGUUUUAUUAAUUCAACAUUAGAAUACAAAUAUUAAGAGGUAUUUUUUAUUUAUGCCAAAAGUAGGGGCUAGACACAGGUCUUCCAUAUGUGUCAUCAUUGGUGGAUAACGACAAAUAUAUUAAGGAUGUAGGGGUUUUAUAAAUUUAACAUCAGAAUACGAAUAUUAAGAGGUAUUUUUUAUUUAUGCCAAAAGUAGGAGCUGGACACAUGACUUCCAUAUGUGUCAUCAUUGGUGGAUAACAGGAGUCAAAAAUCUCUUACAACGAUCCCUCAACAUCAUUCAUUUGUUUGUGUUGUUUGGUGAUGUGGAUCCUACAUGCCUAUCAUGGCCGAGAAACCUCCUCCAUUAUUAAGUCAUUGGGACAUGUGCGAAGCAUCACCGACAUUUUGAGAACCAUCUUCGACAUGUGCUCUACGCAUGUGUACAUCCAUUUCAGCUUCCCUUUCUACAACUAAGUCACUUGCAACCUUCUCGUUGGGUCGUUAAGAAGUAGGGGCAAUAAGAGAGAACAAUUUCAACAUAGCCACAAAUUGGUGCCACAGAGGACAAGUUGGAUGCAAUAAAUGUUUAUUUGAAUUCAGAUAAUAUUCAUUUCAAGUCAAAUAGUGUUCAUUUAGAAGGCGGGAAGUGGUAAGCAGUGAAAUGGAAGGAAACAUCAUGAAAACCUACAACUUCAAGCCAUUAUCAAGAUUACAGUCAAAGAGGACCGAGGAACAAUACUUAUACAGGUAUUUAAAAAACUCUUAUCCCCUCCAUUGAACUAUUAUUCUCAUUCAUUUGUUUUAACUUAGUAAUGUCAAUCAUGGAAAGGAUUAUUCCAUUUGUCAAAAUAAUUAGUAAAGUAGGACGAAUAAUACAUGAAGAACCAUCAUUUGAUAUGUAACCAAGAUCUAUUGAAGACUAAUUACAAUUUAUAAUAUCUAACAAUACCAAUAGAAAACACUAGAAAAAAUACCCAUGAGAGAGUAUAAAGACCUCAAAUAGAGCAAAAAAAUUGUCACAACAACAUAAUAUAUUAAAAAACUAUAAGGAUUUUUAUUACAUAAGUACUGCCAUAAGGGUGCAACUCCCAUAUAUUAAAAACCAGAAAAUAAGUACAUAGAUAAUAAGAAGGGGGACACGAGGGGAUCAGUGAUAUAGAUAACCAAUCCCCUUUCCAAUCACUUUCAACCUUUAUAUAAUCUCUUCAAGGAACAGAUUGCCAUUAUCCCUCAUGAGGGCCUCAAACUCAUCCAAGUUGUAUUUCUUGCCUACCCCAACUUUGAAUAACUUCCAUGUUUUAGCAAUUUUCGUCUUUCUGCCUUCUGUAUUAAGAUUAAAAAAAACUAAGCAUGAUCUUUGAUUAUGGCACAAUCUCAAGGGUCUCCAGUGCAAUCUUGACACCUUCUGCAUUCUCCUCCUUCACUAUGCAAUGCACAAUACCAUAGGCGUUAAUGGAAUAUCCCAAAAUCUAGAUGAUGGGGGAGAACAAGUUCUCAUAAACAAUUCCAUCACAUGUACAUGCUCGUUAGCCCAAAAAAUAUGUCCCUAAAAUGUUUAUCACAAACAUCUUCUCCUCCUCAUUCCCUUUGUUGAAUAGAUAAGCAAUCUUCUCCUCUAGGGAUUCUCUGAGAUUGUUCGUGCAUACACACAGACACUUAACACCAAAGGAGUUUGCCAUUUUAUGUAUACAAACUUGAUGAAGGAAUCACUAAUUUAUAGCCUUCACAUCCUAACAAUGGAAACAAAUCUCAAAACAAAUCUCUUUGGGAUUUCUUUCUAAAAUGUGCGCCCAAAUAUUCAAUCUGAUGUUGUUUGUCUAGGAAGAUCUUUGACAUUUUGUUUGAAAGGAUAAUACCCUUUCAUCCAUCUACCAUCUGUUAUGUUUGAACCUACAUUUUGUACCUUUGACUGUAAAAAUAGACAUGAUCAGAGAAUUUGAUCAAUUACUUUUCAAUUUUGGCAGAAAAUCAACUCAUCGAGUUCAUAUCGAGCUCCAAUAUAAUCUUUUUUUAAUCCUUUCUAUGGCCUCAUAGAUGGCAGACUCUACUGCCAAAAUUGAGAUUUGAAAUCUUAUGGAAUGUAAUUUUUGUUCCAUGUGAAGCCAUAUCAUCCUUUCUAGGUAACCAAUGUUUAUUUACAUUUAUCCCAAACCAAAAGAUCUCGUAAAUAAUCCCUUGGUAACCCUAAUUGGAAUAGAAAGGAAAAUAAACAGUUCCUCGGGGCAACUGCCAAGGAAAAGAAACACCUUCAUUGACUCUUAAUUUCCCUAGUUCCAAAUUAACCCCUUCAUGUGUAAAUUUGACUUUCUUUUUUCAUUUACUUAUGGAUGCACUAGGAUGAACAUACUCAUCAUUUCAUAGCAAUAUCAUAACCAAACUUUUGAAAAUUUUAUUAUAAUUUUAUCCAUUAAUUAACCAACUGAUAGGUACAUAUGGAUUGAAAUGCAGAUGGAUCCAAUUGUGGAUAUAGAAUAUGUAAUUGUUACCAGUGAAGAAAAAUUUGUUGCUGGCAUAGUCAUUUAUCGAAAAGGUUGUACACUUGUUGACAUCCAUCAUGAAAUUGUGGAUGGUGAACUCAUUGAAUAUCCUUUCGAUUUUAUCAAUGGGCUUGGGCAUCCUUUAAAUAUAAAGCUGGAAUAAAAAUGGAAAGCUACAACAACACUUAUAGGCAUUAAGAGGAAACAUGACACAAUGGACGUUGAUACACUGGAGUCAAAUAUAUUGAAAAGUACUCCAAACCCUCAACACAAUAGAGAGUGUGUGGAGGAAGGUAUGCAUAAACAUCCAAGAGGUGGAGAUAGGUCUGAGUAAGUGGAACAAAGCAUAGUUGUUGAUCCAUAUGUAUUGGAAUCUUGGAAAUAGAAUGUGCACAGUUUAAUGGAAGAAUUUAUCGAUGAGAAGCUUACUCUCAAAGUAUAUUCAUAAAAGGGAGAACCUAAAAUAAAGAUCUAUUGUGAAAGUUGUGGAAUUCAUUAUAGAACAGGGGAAGUAUCCAUGGCAGCGUGAACAAUUUGUAACUUUAGAAAUAAUCGUAUGAAAAUAAUGUCCCAUCAACGUCACAUUUUAAUGGAGGGAAAUGGUGAAAAUCUUUAAAGUAGCACAAAAAAGUAGACAACAGUGGUUAGAGAUCGAUUUGAGAUCAAUCAAGCAAUUAAACUUCUAGAUGAUUUCAACAAGACACAAGAACCUAAUUUGUUCAAGGUGGUGGAAGCAACACUUGCAGGCUAUGAGGAUAAGAAAAAAGUAAGAGUGGAAUGUACAUGAUGCAAUAAAUGGUUUGUUUGGUGCCAACAAGUGGUAAUAUUAUCAGUUCUCUAAAUGAACACAUGAAAUCAAAGAAGCACACACUACUAUAGAUGAGGCUUCAUGUGAUACAAUUAUUUUAAAGAGUGACACAACCAAGAGACCCAAGAAGCCUACCAAUGAUAAGUCCCAACAAAGUUUGACUAGGUUCUUGGUCCCAUCAUCACCAUCUAUAUUACAUAGGGGUUCUAAAAGUGCAGAUCCUUCUACUUCAAGUGUGUUAACUACCCAAGUUUAAAUUUAUUUUAAAUAUGAUCUAUUGUAAUUUGUAAAUUAUUUGUGUUAUCAUCUUAUUAAAGGUCAUUCAUCUCCAUUGAUGUUGCAAUGUUGGGGGUAUUGGUAUUCCCAUAUUAAUAGGAAUGGGGAGAUAUUAGACACAAAUAUCCCAAUGGAUGAUCAAAGGGAUGGAAAAUUAUGGGCCAUAGAGAAGCAUACCAAGAUGAUGCUAUGUUAUGAGGGUAAUGAAUAUUGUAUUGAUGACAGAUAUAAGUAUAUUCAUUACAAGAGGGCUUCCAAGACAUGGAUCCCAUUUGAAUCAUUGACAUGCAUCUUUUGUAAUAUGAUUCUACAAUGUGAUGACUUAAGGAUGUGUUUAUAUCGUGAAUCAAGGUGUGUUGAUAAAAGACAUGGGAGGGAUACAGGGAGAGGGAGAUGACUUAGACUAUUUGACUCAAAAUGAACUUAAAAUAGUUGCUAAGGUUUCAAAUUAUAGGCAAAGAUCAACAAUGCGAAAUCUUUGGUGGGAAAAGACAAAGGUUGCUAUACUCUCUAUUAGAAUGAGAUCCCUAAAGGAGAAGUUGUUUGAAUCGAUAGAAAGGAAGGAUGUUUUUAAGGUUUUGCAAGGAUGUUUGUGAGGCACAUAAACAAGGAAAAUUACAAGGUAAAGAUGUAGUUUGGGAUUUUGUCAAGGAUAUCUUUCAUAACCUAAUGCAUCCAAAGGCAAGGAGAAGGUAUAAUACAUCCACUAAAUCCCUUUCUGAGAUGAUCAAGUUAUGGGGAGGUCCUAGAUUAUAUAGCUUUAUUUUGCUUGAAUCUAGAUGGUCCUUGAAUUUCUACAACUUUGAGACAAGUUAGAAAGUCAUUGGCAUACAUCCCAGGGGAGCACGACUAUAUUUUUGAGGCAAUAGGGAAUGUGCAUGCUUAUUAUAAAACCAAACAUGGUAUAUAUGACCCAAUUCCUGUGUACCUUGUUGAAGAUGAAAUUGUUGUGAAAAAGUAUGUUAGGUGGGUAGCAAAAAGUGAUAAAUUGGUGGGUUUUUGUGGUAAUAAAGAAGAACGUCAAUUUCAAUCAUAUUUCUUGGUGACAGUUGGUGAUGGAGUUGUAGGCUAUGAUACCAUAACAAAUUCUUUUAAGAACAAUGCUAUUAGCCAUUAUGCACGUGUUAUUAUUGCAAACCCUUCACAUGAAAAGCUUCCUCGUUUGGUUGUGGUUGCUCAUCCAACAUGAAAUAGAUUCAAUGCAAAUUUUGUUCGUCAACAAUGGAAAAAAAAUAUAAUUUUUUAAGGAGACAUGUGGAAAAUAAUUUGGGACCUAUUGUUGGUCAUUCCUUAGAUGGGGAUAGUAGAAAAAGACAACUUAUGUUAAUGGACUAUUGUUCAAUAGAAGGUAUUUGAUAUCAAAUUCCUUGGGAAUAGUGGAGACUAAGCGAGUUUUCCAAUGGUUGCAAUGUAAGAGGAUUGCAUGACCAGGAGUGAAUCCACAACGACAAAAAGCUAGUGAAACAUUUAUUUAGCGGUCAACAAGAUUUGAUUUUAGGAGAAGAGCUGAUAAGUUUUAAUCAUGUUAAGAUGGUUUAUAACACUUUUAAAGUGGAUGAUCACAAGAUUAAAAGUGAAGAUAUAGGGAGGAUAGAUCGACAAAAUUCGGGUUCGACACAAUGUAUUGCUUCAAGGCAUGUUCAGAGUUGUUUGAAAGAGAUGAGAAGUACAUCUAGUGGAAGGUUAGAGAGGAUACUAGACAUAGGGACAUAUCUAAUGAUUGUUGCUGACUACAUUAACAUUUUUAUGUCUUAGAGUUUGACUCUCUGGGAAAGAGUGAGAAAUGCUUCACAAGUUCAUCAUUUCUUCACGUUAUGGUUAUGUUGGCUACGAAAAGAAUCUAAUAAUAAUAACAAUAUAAAUUUCAUCAGAAAGAGGCAUAUCAAGAUGUGAAAAUUUCUUGCCACUUUGUAGUUCUGUUGUUGAGAUAGUUUCGAGAUCAAUACUUCACUUGCCAUGUGUUUUGCACCUAACUUGGUUAGAUGUACGUGAGAACUUCUUUAGCAAAGUUGGUGGGAUGGUUGGAGCUGAAAGGGCCUAUGAUUUCACUGACUUGGUUCACAUUGUGGGAACCCUUAAUAGAGUUUCAGAAGAAGAAUCAAAUCCCCAAGGGCUUCAUUUUAAUAAAUCUCAUAAGAAGCAAGAAAGUAUCUAGAAUGAAUUGCACCAAGAAAUGAUACAAAAUGUCAACAUAUUAUCAGAAUAUGAUUCAAUAUCUAUAGAUGAUAAAAUUAUAAAAUACCUCAAGAUAGGAUUGAAGGAUGCACAAGACAUAUUAUCAUCUCUUGGAAUGUGACUGGAGAAUCCGACACAAUAUUCUUGGUGGGUUAAACCAUGGACAAAGGGCCAAAAUUAUCCAACAUUACAAGUUGUGGAUGAAGUAGCCGAUGACUCUCCACCAACUCAUUCUAACUCUAUAUUCCAAUCAAAUUCUUCAGUGGCACACAAUCAUGGUGAAUUUCAAAUAAUGGAAAGUGAGUGGAGACAUGAGUUGGAUGAAAUUUUAGAUUCCAUAGAUGAAAAUGUAAAUAAAACUCUAAAACCAGUGGUAGAGCUUGAUGGUAAGGAUAUGUUCAAAGCUUGUUUGGUUAGUCAGUUGAAUGGAAAUCCAACAUUAUCCAAAGAUAGGUUAAAUAAAGUGAGGAAUGGGGUCUACUUUAGGUGAGAUGAGAGGGCCCCACAAAAGGGUGUUUCAAUUAGCUUUGGAAUUGGAUCAAAUUGUGGGGUGUUGUUUGAGAGCAAUUCAAUACCUCCCACUUAACGUACUACAAGAAAAGGUGUUUCUUGAAGUACAAGAUAAGGUGUUUCUUGUGGAACUUGGUACAUUAGAAGGGUUAAAAGAAUAUGGAGGAAGGAUGGUAAUAGGAUGUUUGAUUACCAUAAUGACAUUGACCCUUUGGAUAGGCCAGAAGGCAUUGAGCUUCAAUUAUGUUGGCACAAUAGAAUAAUUAAGGGAAACACAUGUACAAGCAUGAUUUGAUAGAUCUUGCUUUUGUGGGACUUGAUUCUAUCAUAGAAACAACCAAUUUAUCUAACAAUGCUAGGAAUGAUACAUACAAAUUAGAAGAAAGAGAUGACAAUUUUUUUUUUCAGAUUUUGUUAAAAUUUUGAACAAGGUGUAUUUUCAAAACAUUCUACUUUCUUCCUCAUGUAUUCCCAUAUGUUAGAUUGUCUAUUUUUUUUUUUUAUCAAAUCUAAUAUUGGUUUUAUAUUUUUUGUCUUCAGGUGCAAUGAAUAGUGUGGAUGGUGAAUAUUUAGGAUAACUCAACCAAUUUGUUGCUACUUACUUCUUGGUGUACAUGGCUUGACAAAAAGUCAUAUGUCAUUCAUGAUAUCAAUGGGGUUUUCAAAUCAAAUCUAAAGGUGAUAGAAGGUCAUCAAUCAAACAACUUGGCACUGUGGAAGGUGGACAACUCGCCCACAACUUGCAUUUCUCAAUACUAUUGUUGAUGUUUGCACUAAUGUUAAUGGUGCAACUCUAUAAAACUCUAUAAUUUAUAUUUGCAUGUAUUUAAAAUCAGGGCAAUGUCCUGUGUGAACU